CAGCAGCCGCGGAAUACGAAGGGUGCAAGCGUUAAUCGGAAUUACUGGGCGUAAAGCGCGCGUAGGUGGUUUGGUAAGAUGGAUGUGAAAUCCCCGGGCUCAACCUGGGAACUGCAUCCAUAACUGCCUGACUAGAGUACGGUAGAGGGUGGUGGAAUUUCCUGUGUAGCGGUGAAAUGCGUAGAUAUAGGAAGGAACACCAGUGGCGAAGGCGACCACCUGGACUGAUACUGACACUGAGGUGCGAAAGCGUGGGGAGCAAACAGGAUUAGAUACCCCGGUAGUCCCUGUCUCUUAUACA
rnacentral:rRNA from 1 species